rnacentral:rRNA from 1 species
UCAACUUUAUUAGAAGAGACGCAUUUAUUAGAUAAAAAGCCAGUUCAUGCUUUUACAGUAUGAAAAUUGGUGAUUUAUAAUAACUUAGCAAAUCGCAAAGUGAAAACAGGCGAUAAAUCAUUCAAGUUUCUGACCUAUCAGCUUUCGACGGUAUGGUAUUGGCUUACCGUGGCAGUGACGGUUAACGGGGGAUUAGGGUUCGAUUCCGGAGAGGGAGCCUGAGAAACGGCUACCACAUCUAAGGAAGGCAGCAGGCGCGCAAAUUACCCAAUUCUAACAGUUUGAGAGAGGUAGUAACAAGAAAUAACAAUACAAGGCAGUUAAAAUGCUUUGUAAUUGGAAUGAUAGAAAUUUAAACCCUUUUUAAAGUAUCAAUUGGAGGGCAAGUCUGGUGCCAGCAGCCGCGGUAAUUCCAGCUCCAAUAGCGUAUAUUAAAAUUGUUGCAGUUAAAAAGCUCGUAGUUGAAGUUCUGCUAAAAGUAACCGGUCUGCUUUUAAUAAAAGUGGUAUCUUGGUAUGUAUUUAGCAAUGAUGUCCUUUGAAGUGUUUUUUACUUUAUUGUAAUAAAGCAUAUUCAGGACUUUUACUUUGAGAAAAUUAGAGUGUUUCUAGCAGGCUGACGCUUUGAAUACUG